rnacentral:misc_RNA from 1 species
UUGAAUAAACUUGAACAGGCUGUUUUGCUGGCCCCUUGGGGUACGUGCACGCUUGUCAUCUUUAUUUCUCCAACUGUGCACAUCUUGUAGACCUGGGAAGUGAUUGAUUUCUUUCGAGUUGGGACUGCUGUGCUUUUUGAAGUCAGCUUUGCCUUGCAUUUUUCAGGUCUAUGUCACUUUCACAAACAUAUGAAUCUGUUUAGAAUGUUGAAUCAGGUCCUUUUGUACCUAUAAAAGUUAUAUAUA